rnacentral:rRNA from 1 species
UACGGGAAGGGGGCUAGCGUUGCUCGGAAUCAGCUAGGGCGUAAAGGUGCGUAGGCGGGUCUUUAAGUCAGGGGAUGAAAUCCUGGACUCGAACUCCAGAACUGCCUUGAUACUGAAGAUCUUGAGUUCGGGAGAGGUGAGUGGAACUGCGAGUGUAGAGGUGAAAAUUCGUAGAUAUUCGCAAGAACACCAGUGGCGAAGGCGGCUUCCUGGACACAACUGACGCUGAGACGCGAAAAGCCGGUGGG